UUCUGAAGAUCUUUUAGGAUUUAUUGAAGUAAUUGUAGGAUUUAUUGAAGAUCUUUUAGGAUUUAUUGAAAUCUUUUAGGAUUUAUUGAAGUAAUUGUAGGAUUUAUUGAAGAUCUUUUAGGAUUUAUUGAAAUCUUUUAGGAUUUAUUGAAUCUCUUGUAGGAUUUAU